AGUGGCUUCUGCGGGCUUCGAGGAGCGGGAUGUUGCGGGCUGGGUGGCUCCGGGGCGCGGCGGCGCUGGCGCUGCUGCUGGCGGCCCGAGUGGUGGCGGCGUUCGAGCCCAUCACCGUGGGCCUAGCCAUCGGGGCCGCGUCGGCCAUCACCGGCUACCUGUCCUACAAUGACAUCUACUGCCGCUUCGCCGAGUGCUGCCGCGAGGAGCGGCCGCUCAACGCUUCGGCUCUCAAGCUGGAUUUGGAGGAGAAGCUGUUUGGACAGCAUCUAGCCACGGAAGUGAUUUUCAAGGCGCUGACUGGCUUCAGGAACAACAAAAAUCCCAAGAAACCACUGACCCUUUCCUUACACGGCUGGGCUGGCACAGGCAAGAAUUUUGUCAGUCAAAUUGUGGCUGAAAAUCUUCACCCAAAAGGUCUGAAGAGUAACUUUGUCCACCUGUUUGUAUCGACUCUGCACUUCCCUCAUGAGCAGAAGAUAAAACUGUACCAGGCAAGAGAACCCGCUAUUAUCUCGUCUGCAGGCCAGUCGGACUGGUCCGGGUGACCUGCUCACUAACUCUGGCCUCUGCUUCUCUUUCCUUUGUGUUGCUGUAGCCCCCGGCUCCACUGAGUUAAGGCACACUUAGUCCAGGACCAGUUACAGAAGUGGAUCCGCGGUAAUGUGAGUGCAUGUGCGAACUCUGUUUUCAUAUUUGACGAGAUGGAUAAAUUGCACCCCGGGAUCAUUGACGCAAUCAAGCCGUUUCUAGACUACUACGAGCAGGUUGACGGAGUGUCUUACCGCAAAGCCAUCUUCAUCUUUCUCAGCAAUGCAGGCGGGGACCUUAUAACUAAGACGGCUCUUGACUUUUGGCGGGCCGGAAGAAAGAGGGAAGACAUUCAGCUGAAGGACCUGGAACCUGUACUGUCUGUCGGAGUCUUCAAUAAUAAACACAGUGGCCUGUGGCACAGUGGACUGAUCGACAAAAACCUCAUUGAUUACUUUAUCCCCUUCCUGCCUUUGGAGUACAGACAUGUGAAAAUGUGUGUGAGGGCCGAGAUGAGGGCCCGUGGUUCUGCCAUAGAUGAAGACAUUGUCACAAGAGUGGCAGAGGAAAUGACGUUUUUCCCCAGAGACGAGAAAAUCUACUCAGACAAGGGCUGCAAGACUGUGCAGUCGCGGCUGGAUUUCCACUGAGCUCCUAUCCAGAUGGGGUAGGAGACAGCUGGGAGGCUCCGCACGCCAGAGGCCUUGCCUUUCAGAAGAACCCUGAAGACCGCUUUGGGGUUUUGCCUGUUUGCACCUUAGACUUUUGGGUAUAGAAUCUUUUUUUUGAGAAGAGGUCUCACUCCGUCAUCCAAGCUGGAGUGCAGUGGUGCAAUCCUCAACUCACUGCAACCUCCGCUCCCGGUUUGAGUGAUUCUCAUGCCUCAGCCUCCCGAGUAGCUGGGAUUACAGGCAUGAGCCACUGUGCCCAGCUGGGAUAUAGAAUCUAAGAGUUGAUUGUGGAAAACACGUGAAUCUAUUGCGCGCAUUUGUCAUUUAGCAAGAUGGCAGCAGUCCAGCUGUUCUUUGCAGCUGGAGAUGAACUUUUAAAAAUCCCCUUCACACUUAAUGUACUGACCGAGACAGAAGUACCUGAAAACAGCUGUGCAUGGCAGGCCCGGCAAUAGCUUCUGACCCACAGCACCCGCGCCUCAGAAGCUACGGUCACAACUAAAGGAGUCCAGGGACUUGCUGCAGGCUGGGGGGCACUGGGUGGUUCUCACCAGCAGGCUGCGGGGCACUGUGUUCUCAUUGGCCAAAAACAUCCUUUUGCUCUGUCUCGUUCUUUACACAGAGUUCACUGACUUGAAGUAUACUCAGUUAAAAUCGGGGCUGGAGGUGCAGACGGUGUCUGACCGGAGGAUGUGGCCGUGCCCGCCGAGCACUCUUGAUCUGAGCUGACCUGUGUGUGUGUGUGUGGGGGGGUGGGGCCUUCACCUAAGACCUCUGCAGCAGACCUGGACAGACAGGCCCCUCCCGCCUGUCCAUCGCUCUAGCUGCUAAUACAGCCCUGGCUGUGGAAUCCUUCACCGUCUCAGCUGGUAUCAGCCCCAGCCUGCCUUGUGCCAUAUCUCAGCUUGGAUCUCUGCUAGAGUCCCCCCAACCAUAUAUCAUAGAGUUGAAUCACAAUGAGACCGUUGGCUUUGAAUUUGAGUCGUUGGUUCCCAUGGUGAGAUGCUUGUUAAGACUUUAUACUUGGGUCAAUCUCUCACUUUAUUUUGUAGAACCAUUUGAAAUCCUAGGAUGUGCUUGUUCUGGAAGGAUGACAUGGGCCCAGACUGAACAAGUCAGCUUGAUGAUCUUAAAUGAUGGAAGUAUAGGACGUUGCUUAUUUUAAAACAAGGGAAGGACACAAAAUGGAAUGACUGCUUAGUCCUUUCUCAGAUACUCUUAAAACAAUUUUUUAUUGUUAAAUUUGUGGUAAUACAUGGUCACAACCGUGGAUCAAACAAGGUCAGUCUAAAGUGGCAGGUCCUAGGUGUGACCUGAUACCACCACCCUUUGUGGCAGCACCGGGCUGGACUGCCCUGAUCCCUGGGACGUGAGACUUAGCUUCCAGCCAGUGUGAAUCAUUGUAUCUGUCUCAUAAUCACAGCACAGCUGCAGACACAACAACGUGCAGCAUUUUUUACAUAAAAAUAUGGUAGAAUUAAUUUAUGACAUGGAAAUGCCUUACGUGGUAUCACACUUAGUCUUGAAAAAAACACCAAGGUGACGUUUAAAAUUUUUAGUACAUAUCCUCAAAUUGGAGCUAAGUUAUACUUCUUUUAUAACCUUUUGGGCAUCUGGUCGAGAGAAGACAAGAUUUUCUCUAUUUACAGUGAGGCAAUAAAUAUGUUUGCCACCUUU